UACGUAGGGAGCAAGCGUUGUCCGGAAUCAUUGGGCGUAAAGCGCGCGUAGGUGGCCCCGUAAGUCCGCUGUGAAAGUCAAAGGCUCAACCUUUGAAAGCCGGUGGAUACUGUGGGACUAGAGUACGGAAGAGGCGAGUGGAAUUCCUGGUGUAGCGGUGGAAUGCGCAGAUAUCAGGAGGAACACCGGUGGCGAAGGCGGGUCUCUGGGCCGAUACUGACGCUGAGGAGCGAAAGCGUGGGGAGCGAACAGG
rnacentral:rRNA from 1 species